UAUUUUUCAUCACUACCUGAAUCAAAAAUAAUUUUACCCAAUAUCCGAUUUUUUCCUCUUGUGUUUUUUAACUGAAGAAUCAUUCUUGUUAGCACCUGAUUCUGAGGUUGAGUUAUUUUGGGACUGUACAUCAUGUUUUUUACGCUUCUUUUUUUCUUUUUUACAAGAGUUUUCGUUAAUGUCCAGUACUGUUUCCUCAUGAUUUGUUUUUAGUGAUUUAUUUUUCUUGUUUGUACUGUCUUCAGCACUACCUUCAGAUUGGUCUAGAGACAACCUGUGAUCUUCAGUUGAUCUUGAAUUCCCACUC